rnacentral:tRNA from 1 species
GGAGAGAUGCCAGAGAGGUCGAAUGGGUCGCACUCGAAAUGCGAAGUACUCGCAAGGGUACCGGGGGUUCGAAUCCCUCUCUCUCCG